rnacentral:lncRNA from 1 species
GAGGAUUGCAAUGAGGAUACAAAGCUCCCUCUUCUGAAUUAGACUGAAGAAACUCUGCUGGCAGAAUCGAACCAAUUUUAAAAUCAUGCCAUCUGAGCAACUUUCUUUCCCGUACUAAUCCCUUUAAACAUUCCAAAUUAGUUUUAGUUUUUGGGCAAAAGCAGUUUUAAUAAAGAUUUUGUUAUUCCGAUAGAUUGCAGUGAUGACCUUAGAAAAAUUCAAGCUCAACAGACCGGAAUGCAGGUCUCUUAAUUGAGUUUUGCGUGUCGAUAACCCGCUGACUGAGCAGUC